rnacentral:tRNA from 1 species
GCCUUCGUGGUGUAACUGGAAGCACGCUCGACUCGUAUUUGGGAGGUCAGGAUUUUGAAUCCCGGUGAGGGCA